rnacentral:lncRNA from 1 species
GCAAAGAUGAAAAAAGGGGCAGUAAUUAAAGUAAUAAUAUAUUUCAAAAUGCUACACAAAUAAUAAUGAAGGAGAACAAACAUUUAAAAUUUCCUUUAAAAGUGCCAGGUGUCAGGCCAUGAAAUAUAUAUAAACUUCAUCUUUGCAACCACCUAUUAUAUGCAUAGUUUUAUUUUACUGGUGAGUAAACGAAGGUUUGUAGAGUUUUGUUACUGCUCAAACAAUACAGUGUGAUAAGGGGUAGGCUAUGAUUUGAGCUGACGUUUUGCUUCCAAGGACACGGUCUUUCCACUCGUUGUUCCUGGUACCCCACCCCCUGCUCUCUAAAAUUUAAUUCUCUGAAAGAAAAGCAUCUGACUGGAAAACAGCAUUUUCUAUCAAGAGAUUUCCAUCAUCAGCUGGGAAUGUAUCAAUUGUGGGGAGCAUCUUCCUGAACCUUCAAAGCCUUUUCUCUGUCAGAAGAGAAAUCUCAACCUCAUCAGAAUCUAGGGUACUGGUUCCAUCUGCAAGUUUGACAUCUCAAUGUGAUUAGGUAGGUAGUCAAUUCUAAUUAACUCUCCUCUUCCAGCCAAUUCUGCCAAUACAUUGGUUCUAUUUUAAAAAUUCAGACAAUUCUUGUGGAAAAACAUCAUUCCAUCUCUCUCCAAAUACUUGUUACUUUGACUCUAAGACCUCAUCUUUAUUCUUAUCACAAAUUCCUCAGAAGAACGGUUAAAUUGAUUAUGCAUAAGAUGGUGACAAAGAAAUUUUGUUUACUUCAGAAUGGAAAUACAGACAUCAAAUAUAUGAACUCGUUGCUCUGGCUAACAUUGAAAAUCAGCACCAUACAAACUGUCAUAUGAUUUCAAUCUUAAUCCCAGGUGAGAUUGUGAGGAAGACAAAAUUUGCUUUUUAUGGCCCACUCCCUCCCUUCCCUCCACCUGCCACCUUGCCUUUAUAUCUCACCAACGAUGUUGUAUCUAACAUUCACAUUCAUUCUUUACUUCUUUCUUCCAAGACCUGGUUGCAGGGAAGAGUAUGGUAGACUCACUCAUGCUAAUGCCGUUGGAUCCCAGCUUGCCUCUUAUAGCUUCUUUCUCAGUUUCCCAUAUGUAGAUUCAUAAACAUGCUUGCUUCCCUCUCACCUUCCAUCCUUCUUUUAGGAUU